GAUGAACGCUGGCGGCGUGCCUAAUACAUGCAAGUAGAACGCUGAAGGAGGAGCUUGCUCUUCUGGAUGAGUUGCGAACGGGUGAGUAACGCGUAGGUAACCUGCCUGGUAGCGGGGGAUAACUAUUGGAAACGAUAGCUAAUACCGCAUGACAACAGUUAUUGCAUGAUAACUGUUUAAAAGGGGCAACUGCUCCACUACCAGAUGGACCUGCGUUGUCUUAGCUAGUUGGUGAGGUAACGGCUCACCAAGGCGAGGAUACAUAGCCGACCAGAGAGGGGGAGCGGCCACACUGGGACUGAGACACGGCCCAGAAGCCUGCGGGUGGCAGCAGGAGGGAAUCUUCGGCAAUGGACGGAAGUCUGACCGAGCAACGCCGCGUGAGUGAAGAAGGUUUUCGGAUCGUAAAGCUCUGUUGUAAGAGAAGAACGAGUGUGAGAGUGGAAAGUUCACACUGUGACGGUAUCUUACCAGAAAGGGACGGCUAACUACGUG
rnacentral:rRNA from 1 species